GUCUCGUUGUGUAGUUCAGCCUACCUUGAACUCACUAUGUAGCCCAGGCUGGCCUCGAACUCAUGGUGAUCCUCCUGCUUCAGCCUCCGGAGUGCUUCAUGUCCAUUCUUUUUUUUUUUUUUUUUUUUUAAUUUGUUUUUUGGUACUGGGGAUCAAACUCCAGACCUUGCGCUUGCGAGGCAGGCGUUCAUAUCCAUUCUUGAAAUGCCAGUUCCAGACAGUAAUAAUCCUUAGUGAAAGACCUGGAGGCUUUUCUUGAAAGACCAGGAAUUUAUGACCAGGUGUGUGCAGCCUUACCCAAUUUCAAAUACAGCUUUAUCUGGUCUUCUGAUCUAUUUGCUUGAUUCUGCAACAAAGAAUCUCCAUUUUUAUUUAAUUUAAAAGCAAUAAAUUUUGGUACUUUAUUUUCUAUAUGUUUUAGAGUAUAAGUUUCUAAAAAAAAAAAACUGGUGGGAUUUUGGAUUUGCAUUCAGUUUUUUGGUUUGUUUUGGUUUGUUUUUCCGUUUGUUUUCAGGCAGGGUCUUGCUGUGUAAUCCAGGCUGGAUUUAAACUUUCCAUGUAACCCAGGCUGUCCUUGAACUCGCAGAAAUCUUGCCUCAGCUUCCUAAGUGCUGGGAUUACAGGCAUGUGCCACCCCUGACUGGAUUUGCAUUGAGUUUGCAGAUUCAGUUAGAACCGACAUCUUUACAUAGUUGAGAGAGGAGGCAAGGCCUAAUGUGCUCCAAGAGCCACAGGGACCCCAACACCUGAGACUCCACAGCUGCUCACGGAGACUUGGCUGUGAUAGCAUCUGUCCCAGGUCCUGCCCAGGUGACUGUCCCAGGCAUCUCUGGAAGGGGCUCACAGCUAAGAGUUUGCCUUGAGUAUCAGAGGAGACUUUGGACUUGGGCUUUUCAGUAACACUGGAACUGUUAAGACUUUAGUGACUUUUUGAGAUGGACCAAAUGCAUUUUGCAUAAAGAGAUGUACAUGAGGUUUUUUUUGGGUCUAGCCGUGGAAUGUUAUAGGUUACAUCUAGAUGUCCCCCAAGAGCCUCAUUCACUCACAGAUGGAGGUUUUGUAAGGUGACUGCAUCACGGGGCACUGUAGCUCAAUGUGAUCUUAGGAGGUAGGGGCUGGUGAGAGGAGCCGAGUCACUGGGUAUUGUGACCUGGUAGGGUGUAUCUCCCUCCUUUGUUCCUUCUUUCACUCUCUGCUUCCUGGCUGCCAGAACACAAGCAGCUUUCCUCCUCUAUGGACCUAUGCUAUGCUGUUCUUCCUUGGAGACAGCAAACUAUGGACAAAAACAUGAGCUCAAAUAAACCCCUCUCUCUUAAUUUGUGUGUAUUUUGUCCCAGCAAUGAGGAAAGUGGCUAAGAAACCCUACAAUCUUUAGUAGACAUUAUUGCUUUUCUCUAUACAGUUUUUGAUCAUUUU
rnacentral:lncRNA from 1 species